rnacentral:tRNA from 1 species
UGGGUAGUAGGUCAGUGGUAGAGCGCUUGCUUAGUAUGCAAGAGGCUCUGGGUUCAAUCACCAGCACUACAA